UAUCUCUUUUCUAUUUCGCAUAAAAAAUUAUGUCCUUUUGACCAAAAAGAAACUAACAUCAAAAAUCAUGUCGUUUAUAUCUCAGUCAUGUGUUUUCUUAUUUACGCCAGUGGUCGAGAGCUCACAUGUAACACAAUCUUUUAAUAAAAAUCAGAGCUUUGACUUUGCUUCACGUCUCAUUUGAAGAAUUGUUCACCUUGUCGGCGUGAUGAAUAAAACCCUAAUCUCUAGGGGUUGAUUCUCUUUUGACGAGAAAUUUCAGAGCUAUCGAACUAGGUGUACUCGUGCCUACUGAACCGAACAACUCUAGGGUAUUCCGUAACCCUGUUGACUGUUGUGAAUAUCAUCACUAUCCAACAAUCUUCAAAGCUCAUGGAUUUACCUAGGCUCCCUUUAAAUAUGAUUGGGACGAGGUCUCUUUAUCCAAAAGCCACACCAAUAUAAAUUGAUGAUAAGUAUGUUUUCGGUUAGGACAUUUAAGUGGAUAGUAUAGAAAGUGAUUUUUCUGAUUGUUCAUGUAGAACAUGUGCUACUCUGUUUCCAACAAGGUUAUCUCAUGUGCUAUAGGCUGGUUCUGGUAUUGGUGGCCUGCUUAGUGCCGUCCAUGCUUUCAACACAGGUAUAGUAUAAUUCUCUUUAGUUACUUCAAAAUUUCUACAAUGGAUCUUAUCUUUUUUUGUCUGAUCCCCUAUCUUCAAAAUCGGAUUCCAGGGUCAAAGCGUCUCUCUUUCCUUGUCGGGGUUCCAAUGCUGCUAGGGUAUGGUAUUCAUCAGGUGUAGGGGCUGCCUUUGGAGGUUAUGCACUUCCCAAGUUUGCUCAGAUGACGGUUACCUCGUAUUAUUCAUCUUCAAGUGCUUCACAUUAUGUGAUCUCUAUGCUUACCCGGCGCAUCGAAGACGCUCAUCUCUCUCGAACUCGAAAUAAGAGGUCGAAUGAAGCCAUGUACAUGAAAAAACGAGAUUCUGUUGCACUACUCCUGUACUAGUAGCUUAUUUCAAAAUUUCUCCUUCUAUUUGUUCUUUUUGUGUUAGCUUGUUCUAUAUAGCUUAUACCUCGGCCAUGUCUAUAAUGUUUAUUUGACAUAAUUAUAUAAGAUAUAAUGCAUUUUUGUUCCUCUCCACUCGGACCACACCUAUAAUGUCCAUUUCUGUUAUAAUAAUAUCUUCCUGGUUCAUUUUGCUAGCAGUCAUGUGACUACAAGAACCAUGUCUUCUCAGCGAUUACUUUUUUUACAUAUGAAUCCAAUUUCCUCAUGAGUUUUGAUAUGUUUUGUCCUAAAUCCUGACAUAACUCAGCUGAUAUUGAACAGUAGUAGUAAUUAAGUGUAAGAAAUCAGAGUCUUAAGACUAACUAAUCAGAUCACAUUGUCUAUAGAUGUAACUU